rnacentral:snRNA from 1 species
AUACCUUUCUCGGCCUUUUGGCUAAGAUCAAGUGUAGUAUCUGUUCUUAUCAGUUUAAUAUCUGAUAUGUGGGUCAUUGACUCACACGAUAUUAAAUUUAUUUCUUGAAGGGGAGUCUUAACAAUAGCUUGCUAUUGGAUCUCUCAUGUGUCGCCUUUGCGUUGCACUAUUGCAUUGGUUUGGCGCACCCUAC